UAGGGAAUCUUCGGCAAUGGGGGGAACCCUGACCGAGCAACGCCGCGUGAGUGAAGAAGGUUUUCGGAUCGUAAAGCUCUGUUGUUAAGGAAGAACGAGUGUGAGAAUGGAAAGUUCAUACUGUGACGGUACUUAACCAGAAAGGGACGGCUAACUACGUGCCAGCAGCCGCGGUAAUACGUAGGUCCCGAGCGUUGUCCGGAUUUAUUGGGCGUAAAGCGAGCGCAGGCGGUUAGAUAAGUCUGAAGUUAAAGGCAGUGGCUCAACCAUUGUAGGCUUUGGAAACUGUUUAACUUGAGUGCAGAAGGGGAGAGUGGAAUUCCAUGUGUAGCGGUGAAAUGCGUAGAUAUAUGGAGGAACACCGGUGGCGAAAGCGGCUCUCUGGUAUGUAACUGACGCUGAGGCUCAAAAGCGUGGGGAGCGAACAGG
rnacentral:rRNA from 1 species